AUGGACUUAAACUUUAUCAACCUGAACAUUUUCUUAACAACAUUUCCAAAAAAAUACAUUUUCUUGAACAUUAUGAAGUUGUUUCUCUCUUCCUCUCACUCUCUCCCCAGGGGCAUUGAAAUCAGGAGAGCUGUAUUAAUGUACGUCAGCAGAUUUGGUCCUGAGGAUGUUCCAGGAAGGCUGGAUGCAGAGAGGCUGAGCUGGAGAACCCAUUCAGCCUUGGCAGAUGAAAUAUUUCCAAAAUCUUCAUCAACUACACCUGUGCAAAACCACAAAAGGGACAAAGGCUUCAACACAAGAAGGCACUAA
rnacentral:lncRNA from 1 species